rnacentral:rRNA from 1 species
UUCUACGGGAGGCAGCAGUAGGGAAUUUUCGUCAAUGGAGGGAACUCUGAACGAGCAAUGCCGCGCGAGUGAAGAAGGUCUUCGGAUCGUAAAGCUCUGUUGCAAGAGAAAAACGACAAGCACAGGGAAUGGUGAUUGAGUGAUGGUAUCUUGCGAGGAAGCCACGGCUAACUACGUGCCAGCAGCCGCGGUAAUACGUAGGUGGCGAGCGUUAUCCGGAUUUAUUGGGUUUAAAGGGUGCGUAGGCGGGAUGCCAAGUCAGCGGUAAAAAUGCGGUGCUCAACGCCGUCGAGCCGUUGAAACUG